UCACAAAAGAAGUGAAUAUGCCCUGCCCCACCUUAACUGAUGACAUUCCACCACAAAAGAAGUGUAAAUGGCCAGUCCUUGCCUUAAGUGAUGACAUUACCUUGUGAAAGUCCUUUUCCUGGCUCAUCCUGGCUCAAAAAGCACCCCCACUGAGCACCUUGCGACCCCCACUCCUGCCCGCCAGAGAACAAACCCCCUUUGACUGUAAUUUUCCUUUACCUACCCAAAUCCUAUAAAACGGCCCCACCCUUAUCUCCCUUCGCUGACUGUCUUUUCGGACUCAGCCCGCCUGCACCCAGGUGAAAUAAACAGCCAUGUUGCUCACACAAAGCCUGUUUGGUGGUCUCUUCACACAGACGUGCAUGAAAUUUGGUGCCGUGACUCGGAUCGGGGGACCUCCCUUGGGAGAUCAAUCCCCUGUACUCCUGUUCUUUGCUCCAUGAGAAAGAUCCACCUACGACCUCAGACUGACCAGCCCAAGGAACAUCUCACCAAUUUUAAAUCAGGAGCUUGCUACACGUGCUGGAAAUCUGGCCACUGGGCCAAGGAAUGCCCGCAGCCCGGGAUUCCUCCUAAGCCGUGUCCCAUCUGUGUGGGACCCCACCAAAAAUCGGACUGUUCAACUCACCUGGCAGCCACUCCCAGAGCCCCUGGAACUCCGGCCCAAGCCUCUCUGACUGACUCCUUCCCAGAUCUUCUCGGCUUAGCAGCUGAAGACUGACACUGCCCGAUCGCCUCGGAAGCCCCCUAGACCAUCAAGGACGCCGAGCUUCGGGUAACUCUCACAGUGGAAGCCCAAUCUAAUCACGAGAUAAACAUCAGACAAAUCCCAAGGAAAGGACAUUCUACAAAAUACCUGGCCAGUACCCUUCAAACCUGUAAAGUAAUCAAAAACAAGGAAAACCUGAGAAGCUGUCACAGCCCAGAAGUGCCUAAGGAAAUAUGGUGGCUAAGUGGAAUGUGGUUUUGGGCUGCAAACCUGGAACAAAAAAAAAAGACAUUAAGUAAAAACUAGAGAAAUCUAAA